rnacentral:lncRNA from 1 species
GCCGGACAGGUGUCACCGGUAUCUGCUUUCAAGCCGGGACUCAUUUACGAUCUGACGGCAAUGGAUUACUUGCAUUUCUUGUGCGCUUCAAAUUACACCUCCUCCCAGAUUAAGAUCAUCACGAGAAUUGAAUUUUCCUGUGACCGGAGCAAGGAGUACAGGAUUUCCGAGCUCAACUAUCCGUCGUUUGCAGUCACGAUCAACAGAGGUGGAGGCGGCGCGUACACAUACACGCGUAUCGUAACGAGCGUGGGAGGAGCUGGAACUUACACGGUUAAAGUCAUGUCUGAUGUUAAGGCGGUCAACAUUUCGGUCGAACCGGCGGUUUUGGAUUUCAAUAAUGUCAAUGAGAAGAGAUCGUAUUCGGUUAUCUUCACCGUGAAUCCAUCAAUGCCUUCUGGAACCAACAGCUUUGGUAGCAUUGAGUGGUCGGAUGGUAAACACUUGGUUCGAAGCCCCGUGGCUCUAACCUGGACUUAGUAUUUAGUGGUAAUGAAACUAGAGGGACUAAUGAAAGAAGGUGUAACAGAUAUUGUAAUGCCCUCUAUUAAGUGUUUUAAAUUUUAAGCUUUGAAAUAAUUUUGUCGCUGUUAGAACAUCUCCAAUGGUAUAUCUUAGCAACAUCUUAACACAAAUUUUAGCAUUAAAAGCAAUUAUAUUUAAUGAAACCAACAAAUAUUUGCUAAGAUAUGUAUCUUAUUUAAGAUGUUUAAGAUGUUUUUCUUAAGUUUAGAAGCGCGUGUCGCGAUUUGAGUGGAAAAAAUAAAAAACAAAACCAAAAAAAAAUUCACUCUCCUGUGAUUUUUUCCCGACAUUAUUUCCAUCUCUCUCUCUUGAUCUCUCUGGACACCUUUGCGACAAAAAUGAGGAGAUUCGAAAUCUGUUCGAUUCCGGUGGAGAUAUCGGUGAAUUUUCUCCAUCGUAAGUACCCAUAUCUCUGAUUUUGGUUUUCCGAUUGGGAUGUUUCGGAUCUUGCUAAAGUCUGGGUUUUUUUCGAUUUUGGGGAUUAGGGUUUUGGUUGAUCUUGUGAUCUCGAGAGGAAGAAGUCUCUGAACCGCCUUGUCGUCGAUGAGGCUUCAACGAUGAUAACUCCGUCGUAUCUCUUCACCCUGCAACCAUGGAGAAGCUUCAGCUCUUCCGUGAUGAUACCAUUCUCUUCAAGGUUUGGUUUGCUUUUCUUCGUUUGGAUUCUCUUUUGAUUGAGAUAUUGAAUGGUUGGUUAAAUUAUGAUUUUGUAUGCCAUGUUCUUUCAUCCACUGGAGCUAUUGUCUAGAUUACUUGAAAAGCUUUUACUUGAUUUAACACUAAUUCCGUCCAAGGGGAGCUUGAAUCUGUCAGGAUUGAAUAUGCAAACGCGCAGCUAGAAUAUAAUGCUGCUGAUGAGCGUUCCCAAAUACUGGCUUCUGAAGUCAUUAGUUUGGAAGAUACGGUAUUUGUCUUUGGAUGUUCUUUCUUACAAUCACAUUAGAUUUAAAAAAAGUGUGAAAGGAGUUUAGUUUAGUUUAGUUUAGUUUAAUUGAAAUCUAUUCCUCUAAAAAGUAGUGUGAUUUACUCUGUCUCUUUGAGAUACCACUUUGCUAUGAAAUAAUGAUGAAACAUUUGUGUGACUAUGAAAUAUUGCAGGAAGACAUGGGAUGGCUUAAGAAAACAGUGGACGAUUAGCAUAUACUAGAGGUAACAAUUCUUUCUUAAGGAAGAUUAGCAUAUUUCUAUGAAUUUUUUUAAUGAUUUAGCAUAUCAUCUGAUUUCUGUUGGACAUAAGCAAUAGGAAUUUGAAAUUGGACAGAAGCAAUAGGAGUUUGAAAUUGGACAGAAGCUUUGUAUGAGUUUGGUUUUAUGAUUGCUUGUUUAAGAAGAUAGUGUUUUGCAACAAUUUGAAUUUUGUUUUCUUAAGAUACUUUCUAUUCUUAACCAUUGGAGGGCAUAUAUGUUAAGAUACUAUCUUCUUUUCUUAACUUACAAAUAAGCAAAAAUUUAUUUUAAAAUAUUGCUGAGAUACAAAGUUAAGAACCAAAUGGUUCUUAACCAUUGGAGAUGCUCUUAAUCACUAUUUGUUUCAAACAGUAGAAUACUAGAAUGGUUGGAAACUUCAAAUUGAUGAAAAAGAAGUUUAAUGAACUGGUUGCUCUGUUCCGGAUAGGAAGAUUUGGAGAUUUUGGUGAUUUAUUUCUGUCCAUUGAGGGUUGUUGUUGCCAUGCUAGGAGAAGGAGGAUAUGGUAGAUAUGAUAGUUUUCCCAAACAUCUACAUCAUAUCCCCGUUCUAUUAAAAAAGACACAUUCUAUUAUUUUUUGUAACCAUCAGUAGUUUAGGAUCGUUGGACAACUUGUAAGAAUAUAAUUCUCCAAUACAAAUAUAAUUGAGACAAAUUGUUUCUAAUAGUAUUGUGUAUAUAAAUACACAUAUGGAAAUAAGAUGCUUUUCCAAAACUGUGAAAAGUUCAUCUACAUUUAUUUUUAAUAAUGGAGGCCUAAUCAUGUUAAUGUGUAGGUACAUUGUAAGAAUUUUUUUUGUAAAAUCAAAUAACUAUCCUUUCUAAGAUUCAAAGUUAAAGAUAUACUAACAUAUUAAUAUAUAUUUUCCUACUGAAUAAGAAAAAGUAUUUCUAAUUUUGAGUCUACAUACAUAUAUGUGAUAAUAAAGUUGUUUUUCCCAAAAUUGUAAGAAAGCAAUCAAUGUUAAUUUGUUUUUAACAUCAUGGCAACAUAAUCAUGUGUAGCAUCAAAGACAGCAUUAAAAGAAUACUAGAAUGGUUGGAAAUUUCAAAUUAAUGAGAAAUAAGUUUAAUGAACUGGUUUGGAGUAAUUUCAAAUUAAUGAGAAAUAAGUUUAAUGAACUGGUUUGGAGUAAUUUGAAAUUUCCAACCAUUCUAGUAUUCUUUUAAAAGCAACUUUAUUAUACUCUAAAUAAAAAUCUAAUGGCGUUUAAUUUGAAAUAAACUAUAACAAUUUCAUAGUUAUUUAAAAGACAACUCCCCCACACCCCAAUUAAUAGAAUAUAUUACAUUGAUUAGGUUUCUUUCCCCUAUAUAUCUGCUAUAUAUAUUGACCAAUGCCAAUAAGUAAACAAAUUACACUUUGAUUCGCUAUUAUACAGACACUUAAAGUACAUUAUCAUUUACCAUUAGAUCUUUCUUUAUUUACCAAAAAGUUAACUAAACGUGUCUUGUGAAACGUCGACUCUUAGUUUUUGGUUUCUUCUUUUUCGAUUACAGACAAAUUUUGAUUUUGUUUGUUCUCAUCAAACACAAAAUCUCCAUUCAAGGUAGUUCUAUUCUACGUUUUAUUUCUCUUUUAUUAGAUUUUUAUUUUGUUUCUCUUAUUCUAGUUUAAUUCUCUUAUUCUAGUUUAAGUUUAGAACAUUGUUUUUGUGUGUAGUUUUUUUUAUAUCAAAUCUCUGGUCCUCCUUGUGAAGGCUGCAGCUGUGCUGGCAUUUUGUGCCAACCUCGAUUUCCAGGUAUAUUGUUUUUAUCUUUAAGUUUUUGUGUUCUUACUUUUUUUUGGAUCAUAUGUUAUUAAGAUUUUUGUGUAAACUAUCAAUUUGUCUAACCCAUACAGUUUCCGUGUGUAUUACGGUAUCUUGACCUAACCAAAUAACCACAAAUCUUUUAUUAUUGUUUAAAAAAAAAAAACUAAAAUGAUACGAUUAUCUUUUAUGAAAAUCAACAAAAAUUAUAAUAAACAAGAGUUUGUUUUAUACAAAUGUUUAGAGUUCUCUAGCUAUUUCAAAAAUAAAUAGUUAAAAACAUAUGGAAUGAUCGAUUGUGUGCAGGGAAUAUUCCUAAUAAUAUUAUUGCACUUGAAUUUAAAAUUUUCUUAGGUGGAACAUCUAUAUGUAUCUUCGUCGUCAUAUAUAAUAUAUUAUAUAUGCAUGUAUACACUCACCUGUAUGUGUAAAAAAAUUAUGUUAAAUGUAGCUCAAUUCUAGAUAAAAUACAUAUAUAAAUGGAUUUUGAGAAUCAAAUGUUUUCUUUUUUGUCAAAAGGGUUUCGACUUGCUCCGAGGAAAAGAAGUGAGAAUAAAAAAGGUGUUUUUUAGUUUAGGGUUUAUCAUUCUCCUUGACUUUGCAAAACGUGAAAUAUAAGGCACUUACAUCGUUGUACUCUGUUGCUUUUUUUUUAUAGGUAUCGCCUCCUACAAUAAGUUAACAAUGCUUCCUUGUAGAAUUGCUAAAACAAUUCUACAAUGCUUCCUUGUAGAAUUGCUAAAACAAUUCUACAAUGCUUCCUUGUAGAAUUGCUAAAACAUUUGUUGACGGCCAUGGAUUACUUGCAUUUCUUGUGCGCUUCAAAUUACACCUCCUCCCAGAUUAAGAUCAUCACGAGAAUUGAAUUUUCCUGUGACCGGAGCAAGGAGUACAGGAUUUCCGAGCUCAACUAUCCGUCGUUUGCAGUCACGAUCAACAGAGGUGGAGGCGGCGCGUACACAUACACGCGUAUCGUAACGAGCGUGGGAGGAGCUGGAACUUACACGGUUAAAGUCAUGUCUGAUGUUAAGGCGGUCAACAUUUCGGUCGAACCGGCGGUUUUGGAUUUCAAUAAUGUCAAUGAGAAGAGAUCGUAUUCGGUUAUCUUCACCGUGAAUCCAUCAAUGCCUUCUGGAACCAACAGCUUUGGUAGCAUUGAGUGGUCGGAUGGUAAACACUUGGUUCGAAGCCCCGUGGCUCUAACCUGGACUUAGUAUUUAGUGGUAAUGAAACUAGAGGGACUAAUGAAAGAAGGUGUAACAGAUAUUGUAAUGCCCUCUAUUAAGUGUUUUAAAUUUUAAGCUUUGAAAUAAUUUUGUCGCUGUUAGAACAUCUCCAAUGGUAUAUCUUAGCAACAUCUUAACACAAAUUUUAGCAUUAAAAGCAAUUAUAUUUAAUGAAACCAACAAAUAUUUGCUAAGAUAUGUAUCUUAUUUAAGAUGUUUAAGAUGUUUUUCUUAAGUUUAGAAGCGCGUGUCGCGAUUUGAGUGGAAAAAAUAAAAAACAAAACCAAAAAAAAAUUCACUCUCCUGUGAUUUUUUCCCGACAUUAUUUCCAUCUCUCUCUCUUGAUCUCUCUGGACACCUUUGCGACAAAAAUGAGGAGAUUCGAAAUCUGUUCGAUUCCGGUGGAGAUAUCGGUGAAUUUUCUCCAUCGUAAGUACCCAUAUCUCUGAUUUUGGUUUUCCGAUUGGGAUGUUUCGGAUCUUGCUAAAGUCUGGGUUUUUUUCGAUUUUGGGGAUUAGGGUUUUGGUUGAUCUUGUGAUCUCGAGAGGAAGAAGUCUCUGAACCGCCUUGUCGUCGAUGAGGCUUCAACGAUGAUAACUCCGUCGUAUCUCUUCACCCUGCAACCAUGGAGAAGCUUCAGCUCUUCCGUGAUGAUACCAUUCUCUUCAAGGUUUGGUUUGCUUUUCUUCGUUUGGAUUCCGAGCUCAACUAUCCGUCGUUUGCAGUCACGAUCAACAGAGGUGGAGGCGGCGCGUACACAUACACGCGUAUCGUAACGAGCGUGGGAGGAGCUGGAACUUACACGGUUAAAGUCAUGUCUGAUGUUAAGGCGGUCAACAUUUCGGUCGAACCGGCGGUUUUGGAUUUCAAUAAUGUCAAUGAGAAGAGAUCGUAUUCGGUUAUCUUCACCGUGAAUCCAUCAAUGCCUUCUGGAACCAACAGCUUUGGUAGCAUUGAGUGGUCGGAUGGUAAACACUUGGUUCGAAGCCCCGUGGCUCUAACCUGGACUUAAUAUUUAGUGGUAAAGAAACUUGAGGGACUAAUGAAAGAAGGUGUAACAGAUAUUGUAAUGCCCUCUAUUAAGUGUUUUAAAUUUUAAGC